GGGGGAGCGCGGCGCCCACCGCCGCCACCGCCGCUCGCUCGGGGCCGCAGCGGCUGAAGCGGCCGCCCGAACCCAGCCCGGGCGCGACGAUGAGGGGCAUCCCGGGCUUAAAGAGGCUGCGGCUCAAAAUCUGGCGGCGAUGCACCCUGGUGCUCCUCCUCCUCUGGGCUGCCUGCUGGAUGGUGGUGAGCGCCUUGCUGUUCCUCCUCCACAGGAGCGUCUUCUCCGAGCGCUGCACGGACGAGAAAAGCCACCGGAUCCUGGCGAGGCUGUGUCUUGACUACAGCAGCGGAGCCCUGACUGGCGACCUCUGUGAGGACCUGUGUGUGGCACAGAAGCUGGUGUACAAACACUGCCUUUACUAUGACAGAGGUAAGAAGGUCAUCCAGGCUGACUGGAGAGGCCAGCCCAUCAUUCUGAAAUCCAAAAAGGAAAUCUUCUCCAGCUACCAGCAUCUCAGUAUGCUAGAGGAGGUGGAAACACAGGAUAUUCCUGAAACAGAGCUUCUGCUGAUGGUAGCCUUGGAGGUCAAAAAUGUCCUGGGGCUAGAACUGUCUAACAACACCAUGAGGCCCCUGUGGACAAGGAAGAAGGGACCACGUUGGAAAGCACAGGUGGCCAGCAUGUGGUCCUUGCUCCAGCAGGAAGAAUAUAUCUACUUCAGUUUGCUGCAGGACCUCAGCAAACACGUACUACGAAUUAUUGGCUCUUGUGGACACUUUUAUGCUGUGGAGUAUCUCACAGCCGGACAUGCCUGGCACAAAACUCUUUUUCCCUUGGAAAAUGUGGUUGGUCCCUCCCUUUCUGGCCACAGAAGCAGGGUGAGAGCCAUCAUUGACAUUGCACUCAGCUUUCUGGACAUGGUGCAGCAUUUUGAUAAUGAUUUCUCUCACCGACUUCACCUGUGUGACAUCAAACCAGAAAACUUUGCUAUCAGGCACGAUCUCACGGUGGUGGCCAUCGAUGUGGAUAUGGCCUUUUUUGAACCCAAAAUGAGGGACAUUCUCGAACAGAACUGCACAGGAGAUGAAGACUGUAAUUUUUUUGAUUGCUUUUCAAAAUGCAAUCUGAAAAUCAGAAGAUGUGGAGCACAGAGAGCCAAUAACAACUUGCAAGUAAUCUGUGACAAAAUAUUCCGUCGCUGGUUUUCCCCAAAUCUCAGAGGACCGUUGGUUUCCUUCCCCCUGCAGCUGCAGCUGCAGAAGGCCGUGCAGGAGUGUGCCGAGCCGGGGCGCGUGGACGCUGCCGGGCACCAGAGGACUCUGAAAUCUCUCUCCGAGCUAUACCAGCUGCUUCGGGUGACUCAGCGAGAACUGCAAAGGGCAGAGUAGACACAAAAGGCAGAACUGCAAGGGCCACAUCCCAGCCGCUGCUAAGGGACACCGUGUGCCAGGCAGCCUGUGUUUUCUUUCUCUCUCUCUCUUUUCCAUCCCUCCUACCCGCUGUAUUACAUUUACAGUGCAGAGAUUGGUUUUCUCCUAUGCUAAUGAAAUUCGUGGCUGCAGGUGCAGCACGUCCUGUUAAUAUCCUUUGAAGUGUGAAAUUGUUUUACAUUACCUGGAUUCUGUUCUUGCUUAUUUUCCGAGCUAGCGCUAGCCCUCUCCAUCAGCAUUCAGCACAUCGUUUGCUUACCGAGAGGAGUCACUGCUCCAAUAGCAUCUGCCUGAGCGCUGCGGUCAGAGUGAGGGUGCAUUGACGUACGGAUGAUGCUUUGAAGAAGAAAAGUAGACUUUUUCACCCAGCCACAGCAGUCAGAUCCAGAAAAGAGGAGGUCCACACAGAGUUUUUGAAGUCACCUUUGCUUCCCAGUUCAUUUCUGUGUACUGGUUGUGCUGGUAACUUGGGCUGCGAUGGUUUCUGCUUGUCUUCUCUCACUUUCAGGUAUCUCCAAAGCCUACUGGCAUCCCUGUUUGCUAUCAUCU